rnacentral:tRNA from 1 species
AAUUAGUGAUCUUGAACAAGUUUAUAUUUUGAAAAUAUAAGAUAAAAGUAAAUACUUUUACUAAUUU